CAAUGCCCGAAAGGGUGACGAAGCGACGCCGCGUGAGUGAGGAAGGCCUUCGGGUUGUAAAGCUCUGUCAGGAGUUAAGAAAUAUAAGUGUGUUAAUACCACAUUUAUUUGACGAAGGCUCCAAAGGAAGCCACGGCUAACUCUGUGCCAGCAGCCGCGGUAAUACAGAGGUGGCAAGCGUUGUUCGGAAUUAUUGGGCGUAAAGAGCACGUAGGUGGGUUUGUAAGUCAGAUGUGAAAGCCUUCUGUUCAACGGAAGAAUUGCAUCUGAAACUGCGAGUCUUGAGUGUAGGAGGGGAGAAUGGAACUUCUGGUGGAGCGGUGAAAUGCGUAGAUAUCAGAAGGAACGCCGGCGGCGAAAGCGAUUCUCUGGCCUAUUACUGACACUCAGUGUGCGAAAGCUAGGGGAGCAAACGGGAUUAGAUACCCCGGUAGUCCUAGCUGUAAACGAUGGGCACUAAGUAGAGGGGUUUUA
rnacentral:rRNA from 1 species